UACGGGGGGAGCAAGCGUUGUUCGGAUUUACUGGGCGUAAAGGGCGCGUAGGCGGCGCAACAAGUCACUUGUGAAAUCUCCGGGCUUAACCCGGAGCGGCCAAGUGAUACUGUCGUGCUAGAGUGCGGAAGGGGCUACUGGAAUUCUCGGUGUAGCGGUGAAAUGCGUAGAUAUCCGGAGGAAGACCGGUGGCGAAGGCGGUCUGCUGGGCAGUUUCUGACACUGAUGCGCGACAGCGUGGGGAGCAAACAGG
rnacentral:rRNA from 1 species